rnacentral:rRNA from 1 species
GACAGAGGGUGCAAACGUUGUUCGGAAUUACUGGGCGUAAAGCGCGUGUAGGCUGCUUGGAAAGUCGGAUGUGAAAGCCCUGGGCUUAACCCAGGAAGUGCACUCGAAACUUCCAAGCUCGAGUCCUGGAGAGGGUGGCGGAAUUCUCGGUGUAGAGGUGAAAUUCGUAGAUAUCGAGAGGAACACCGGUGGCGAAGGCGGCCACCUGGACAGUGACUGACGCUGAGACGCGAAAGCGUGGGGAGCGAACAGG